GAUCCUGGCUCAGGAUGAACGCUAGCUACAGGCUUAACACAUGCAAGUCGAACGAAGAGCGAUGGAAGCUUGCUUCUAUCAAUCUUAGUGGCGAACGGGUGAGUAACGCGUAAUCAACCUGCCCUUCAGAGGGGGACAACAGUUGGAAACGACUGCUAAUACCGCAUACGAUCCAAUCCCGGCAUCGGGACUGGAUGAAAGGUGGCCUCUAUUUAUAAGCUAUCACUGAAGGAGGGG
rnacentral:rRNA from 1 species